GAGAAAGUAUUUUCGAAUAAAUUGAAUUUUUACAUUUCAGUGAAAAUAGUCCGGCCAUAUAAAAGCGCUUGUCCUCCUGCGCGUAGGUCUUUCCAGUCGCAUGUUGAAGUUGGAGAAGGAUCAUGUCUAGCAACUCUCCUGAUUACAACAGGCUGCAACGUCAUCGCCCAAGCACGGGCAAGACUCUAUCCUGCAGAAUUGGACCCUGGCUCAGCAGGUAUGCUGUGCCUGAGGUCUGGAUAAAUGUACAUGUUUAUCCGACCCAGGCGGCAUAUUCGGAUAAUCUACAACUGAAAAGAUCCAGAAGGGGCUUCUGGCUCUGGGGGACUACAUGGGGGCCUGCCAUGCCUAAUUUGGGCACUAAUGUCCGCAAAGAGAUGCAGAAGCUGCAGACUGAGUCCCCCCACAUUGUGGUGGGAACUCCAGACUGGAUGUUUGAUGCUUAACAGGUGACGCCUGUAAGUACUCAUCAGUGUGGUCCUCCUGUCAGCCACCAUGCCUACUGAUGUGCUAGAGGUGACCAAGAAGUUCAUGCGAGAGCCCAUUGGCAUUCUGGUGAAAUAAAAGGAAUUUCCCUAGAGGGUAUUAAGCAGUUCUACAUCAAUGUAGAGUGAGGAGUGGAAGUUGGACACAUUGUGAGACCUGUACGGGAUGCCAACAGUUACUCCGGCAGGCAUCUUCCUCAACACCAGGAGGAUCUGCUGGCUGACUGAGAAGAUGCACUCAAGGGGCUUCACGAUCUCUGCUCUGCAUGGUGACAUGGACCAGAAGGAGAGGGAUGUCAUCAUGAGGGAGUUGGCCUGGCUCAAGCAGAGUACUCAUCGCUACGGACUUACUGGCUCGGAAUUGAUGUGCAGCAGGUUCCUUGGUCACCUUCCUACAAAGAGGGAGAAUAAUAUUGAGUGAGAAGUUUGCCUAUCUUGACUCAGACUUCUGAUAUUUGUAAGAUAUGGUGGUCAUGGACAGUUGAUUUUAACCUUGAGUUUCUGGUUGAAACCACAAGCUAUCAAGACUAAACAAUAUGGUUCUUACCAGUCAUUUAUUUCAUUGUACAGUUAAGGUGUGUGGUUUUAGGUAGUUGUGGACUGACUGGUAUAAGUGGUAUUAUGUCUGCCAAUUAUUUUAUGGUAACAUACUGCAUCUUGCCUAUGCUGUUCUGUACCAUCACUCAUUCAUGUCUUUAUGUACAUAUUCUUUAUCCCUUUACACAUGUGUAUAAGGUAGUACUUUUGGAAUUGUUAGGUUAGAUUACUCAUGCUUAUUACUGCACUGUCGGAACUAGAAGCACAAGCAUUUCGCUACACUCGCAUUAACAUCUGCUAACCAUGUGGAUGUGACAAAUAAAUUUGAUAUGAUGUGCGGUGUAAUGAGUCUGCUCCAAUGUUAUUGAUUUGGCUCACCUGGAUAUUUUUAUUUUGACUUGAGCGUACCAAUCACCCUUUGUCAAAUCAUCAGUGACUAUUUUGUGGAAUGUUUUUCCUGCUCAACUUGUUUUGUGUGUAGCCAUUAUCCCUACAACUGAAAGCCUUAAUAAAACCAACUCACUGUACUAUGA